CGCCCGUCGCUCCUACCGAUUGGGUGUGCUGGUGAAGUGUUCGGACUGGCGGCGGGGAGCGGUUUCCGUUGCCUGUCGCCGGGAAGUUCAUUAAACCCUCCCACCUAGAGGAAGGAGAAGUCGUAACAAGGUUUUC
rnacentral:rRNA from 1 species